rnacentral:rRNA from 1 species
GUCCGCACUGUAAACGAUGAUUACUCGCUGCUGGAGGGCAACCUUCAGUGGCUUAGCAAAAGCGAUAAGUAAUCCACCUGGGGAGUACGCCGGCAACGGUGAAACUCAAAGGAAUUGACGGGGGCCCGCACAAGCGGAGGAGCAUGUGGUUUAAUUCGAUGAUACGCGAGGAACCUUACCAGGGCUUGAAAGUUAGUGACCGGAUCUGAAAGGAUUCUUCCCUUCGGGGCACAAACUAGGUGCUGCAUGGCUGUCGU